CGCGAAAGCGUGAGUCGGUCAAUCCGAGUGUAGACCCAUCGGUUUACUCUUGUCAUGUGUACAACGCUUGGCGAAUAAUGUGAGGGCAAGACUGGUGCCAGCCGCCGCGGUAAAACCAGCUCAUAGAGUGGUGAUCAUGAUUAUUUGGCUUAAAGUGUGCGUAGCAGGGAAUUCUAAGUCCUCUGUGAAAUGUCAGGUCUUAAGCUUGACACGUGCAGAAGAUACUGGAAUCCUUGGGACUGGGAUAGGUGUACUGUACGGUUUGGGUAGRGGUGAAAUCCGAUAAUCCAAGCCGGACAACCGGUGGCGAAGGCGGUACACUGGAACAGGUCCGACUGUGAGGCACGAAAGCUAGGGUCGCGAGCCGGAUUAGAUACCCGGGUAGUCCUAUGCCGUAAACGAUGCUCACUAAGUGUUAGGUAAUGCAAGACAUUCUCUAGUGCCGAAGCGAAAGCGUUAAGUGAGCCGCCUGGAA
rnacentral:rRNA from 1 species